rnacentral:SRP_RNA from 1 species
UCGUGCUAGACGGGGAACUAGCGGUGCCCUGUACCCGCAAUCCGCUUUAGCGGGGUUGAAUUCCCGUCCGAGGGCAGUCCCUAUGAGAACUGGCGCAGCAAAGCGGUGUUGAUGUCUGGGUCCCGUGCGGCGAGCCGUUAUGAACCCCGUCAGAUCCGAGAGGAAGCAGCGGUAAGUAGUUGGUCUCGGGCGCCACGGGUUCGCCUGGGCUGAGCUGGCUGGCGGCGAGAAGCUCAUGGUGCCGUUCGACGACGGGUGCACGA